UGCAGAAACCCGGCAGAAGGCUGAACAGCAGCACAGAUAAUAUUAUUACAUGGAUUGGACAAGCAGCUUUAAAUCUACGCCUGCUCUUGUAAAGGUCAGAGGCUCGCAGGAAAUCGAUAUUUGGCAGCUACCUCUCAACCCACCGCUCCGGCAGAGCCCAAUCAGCCGAGCAGCCGUCCUGAUGCACCUGAUGGCUCAGGACAGAGAGAGGGUAAGAUCUUCCUGUUUACUCUGUUUUUAUCUGCAGCUGAAAAACAACAGGAUUAUAAAUGAUGGAGGGAGAGGGAGAUGCAUGUGGACACGUUUUACGACUGCGGGACGGAAAGACAAGGAGAGGACGGAAAAAGGAUUACAGUCACCUCUUUUAUUAUCACAAUGAGUGCGAUGUCCUCCAGCCGUCCUCAGCAAGGACCGCCAGUCCAGACCCACUUCAUCAAACACUGGCAACGCUGUUCUUAGCUACCACCACACAACAAAAACGCACAAAGAUCUCAUGUGUUUGAGAUGUUCUCGUAGGCUAAAGCUAGAGAUGAUGAAACCUCUCACUGUUCUCGAAAGAGGAACACAUAAUCUUGAACUUUCACUGGAAAAGAAACAAGAUCUUUUUGUUAUUGUUUGGGACACAGAGGCCCAUUCAUGAUGGCUGCCACUGCAAGAAUUAGAACCAGGGGCGGUGCCAGACUUUUUGAGUGGGGUGCCCAAACUUCUCCAGGGGUGGCCUUGAGUUUCUCUUCACACAUACAUUUAUAUAAAAUACUAUUAUCUAUUCUUUUUGUAUGCAACCAGAAUAAAAGUAUAAGUAUUACUGUUGAUUAAGUUUAACCUACAAGAAACACGACAGAGAGACAUUUGAAAAAUCUGAGAAUCUAUAGCGACUCAAAAAAAAAAGUGUAAAAUUUGUAGGGGAACUCUAAUGUUAGAGUCUGCCUUUGGAUAUCACCACAAACAGCAGAGACAGCGUGCAUCUCAUUAAUAGAAAAUACACACAUAUAACCAACGUCUUGCUAGUUUGUUUGUUGAUUGUUUUGGUACGUAAUGUAAUAAAUAGACCAGAAAACACCCCAAAAGUAAAGAUGAGAUUUUCCACUGGUGUAAAAAGUGACUAGGCAUACUUAUAUUUGUCUGAAAUUAUCAAAUUACAACAAUAAUAUCUCCAAUGUUACUUUUUUUCUUUCAUUAAUACCUGCUAAACUAAUUAAAGUCAUAAGCUGAUGAAAGUGGCAUUACUUCCAACAAUGCUCACAUUUGUUGCUACUGUUGAAAGUUGGAUUCAAAUUCCUGUAUGAAAGACAAAUCUUUUCAGAAGGUACAAAAAAGUUCGUUGUCCACAAUCCUCUUUGUAAGAGUCGCUAAACCAGGAGAGGUGGACUGGAAGUUCCCCUUUGAAGACAAUCAGCAGCAAAAAGUAAGAACUUAAGAAAGCACAGAGAAGUGAGUUUCAUUCGCAAGAAAAUGAAUAAAGACAAUUGAGGUGUAUCAAAAAGUGAAGCAUAGAGGACCUGAUACAGAGCCCUGUGGUACACCCUUUCAGAUUAGACUCUGAGGUUUGUGGUUUCCUCAGAAGGUAAUAACUAGUAGAUCAGUUUCCAGCCUGGACCAGAUUGUUGGCAGCUGUAAAACAUGACUUCCCUCUUGAACUUUAAAAUUUAUGCCUAUUUUAUUUCUUUCCUCACACUGAAAAGCACCAAUUUGUUGCUGUCAUGCAUUUAUUGAAAUAUUAUGUAAUGUUUACAAAGCUCAGCAGUUUGAAAUGAAUUACAAAAGCAACUUAACUGUGCACGUCUAUUCUGGUCCCUUGGUAACGUUGUUGACAACAGAGAAAGAAUCGAGCUCCACUGCCCAACAGGAUACUUCAUUAUCAUAUGAGUGUGUGUUUUCUGGCAAAUAGGUGCACACUUACACGCGCGCACACACACACACACAGAGUCCUCUCCACCGUGCACGUAUCUCUUUAUCCUCGCACAGGCACAGACUGUUCUCACAUGUACCCACACACUCUCCAGUGACUCAUCUAAAAUAACACAAGAGGCAUAUCGAAAUAGACACUAAUACCCGCGUGAAAAUAAACGUUUGGGUCCGGCAGAAAUAAAUACCGGUCAGAGGGCCCGGUCUGUGGGCCGUGAGACUGCAGCGCCUGCAGCCUCUCCUCCAGGUCCUGCUGUUACAACAACAAACCAAACACAUGGGCGACCACAGGGAGCUCAGUAUGAGGGGACUGAGGAGUUUUCUGGAUACCAGUGCUGAUGAAUAUUGUCUGUUCACUUCUAUAUGGUAUUAUACGGCAUGGAUUCUGACUGCCCACAGAGGUCAAAGGUUAACCCCCCUCAGAAAGAGUAAAGUCAAAUGUUAAAAGUCAAAUUAAAUGUUUAUAGAAUAGACUGAAAUUCAUAUUAAAGGGAUAUUCCGGCGUAAAAUUAAGUUAGUAACUUUAGUAACGACCGCAGGAUAACUAUACAGAGAGUCAACAGUACAUAUAGGGUCUUAGCCAUAGCACUAGCCACCAAACAUUUCUUGUUUCACACAACUCACCCUCUCUUCCAGCAGCCGCUUGUUUGCAGCAAGACCCCUGGGCAAGUCCAUCGACUGCAUCGGGGUGAUGCAGCUCAAAGAAGAACAUUUAUGAUUACUACUUCAUGGAAGUGCAAUCAGACCGAGACACUAAGGCAGAUCUACCACGACUGCAGUGCAAAAUGAUUAAUAUGAUGAUUAUUACUUCAAGGAAAUGAUAAAGAAAUGACCAUAAAUGUUCUUCCUUGAGCUGCGUCACCCCACUGUAGUCCGCAAUGGACUGGCCCGAGGUCUCGCUACUACUAAGCGGGUGCUGGAAGAGAGUAGGUGAGUUGUGUUUAGCCUCUUUGCUAAAGAAAUCAGGCAAAGCUAAAAAGAUGUUUGGUGGCUAGUGCUGUGGCUGGGACCCUAUAUGUACUGUUGAUGAAGUUAGAGUUUGAGUAUCGGAAGUCAGUUAGAUGGGUUUUUAUUAAAAGUAAUACUCAAGCAUGUAGAGGACAAGACUAGCAAAGACUCCUUUGUCCACAGGGGGCGCCAAAACUGACCCAGACUAAAAGUUACUCACAAGAGCUUUAAAAAACAAUAUAUAAUAAAGGCGAAAUGCACAAAAACAUAAGUUAAAAAACUUACACAUGUGCAGGACAACAGAGGCAAUAAGAUAAGAUAACUAUGACCGCCAAAGUCCUGCACAGGAGCUUUAAAUCAGUCUGUUUUCAAACAUCACCUGGAGUGAUAUGUCAAUGUUAUGCAACAUUACCUCAAUGUAAUAAUCUGAUUCAUGGCCACUAUCAUUCUGGAGGGUUUUCUGGCUCGGUUGAAGCUCUCAUCACUCCAAACAUGAUAUAACAUCAUGAGUUGUUGUUUAUGAGUCAUUUCUGUUUUUCUGGCACCGACAAAAACCUGAAAAUUCCAAAUCCAACUGGCUGAUUCAGAGUGUUAACGAUGAGGAUGGGAAACGUCUACUCUGACUGCUCACAAACAGGAAAGUAAACAGAUUAUCUGACUUUUUGACUUCUUCCCACGAAUAAUCAGAGCGAGGAAACAUCCACUCUGGUGUUUCAGUGUUUCAGCAUGUGUCGUAUAUGUUCGUAUACUGUACGUACUUUAACACCUAAGUGGCAGCUGAUGUCCUUUGACUCCCAGUGCGAUGAUGCCUGCUGUCGACAUGUGCAGACUUCUAUUAUUGGAAAAACAAGGUCUUGAACAUGACAGCAGAGCACACACAGGAAGAGAGAGGAGUUCCUGAGCACUUAAGGGAUGUGGAAGGAGCUGCAAACUCUGCUGCACUGAUUUCCUACUCGUUAUUUGUCAUUCUCACAUCACCUGACACACAUAUCUUACUAAUUUGGCCACCUUUCAAGCUGCAAGAGUGACAGUUUCUCCUUCUGCUCAGUCAUACCAUUACUAUCCUAAUCUACCUAGCAUCCACCUGCAGGUUUUGUAGAGAUGGAUUUAAAGCAAAUCCGUAAGGAGCGAUGAGGUUGGAGCUGGGGAUGGCUCUGUUCUGAGAGCUCCCUGCCUUUCCACCUGCAUAUGUGGAACACCAAAGCCUGAGGAAGGGAGAGCACACCUCCUCUCCGGAAGGUCAAGCACAUAGACUGUAUAUACCAGGGACAACUUGGUUCUGCCUUCCGUAAUUAUACAAAUGCAUGUGUAGGUAUUAUCGCCCCCUGUGGACAAAGUACUGCGUCUCACAUCAUCCUGAUUUCCGUCUUUUCAUGUGUAAGUUUUUUUUUUUUUUUUAUAAAUAAAUCUCACCCUGCUGUCUUUUAGCUGUCAAACCAACUCAAGCUGUGAAUAUCUGCUGCAAAAAAAUGUCAGAAGGCUGUUUUGAUGGUGCGCACUUAAUCACUCUGACACCUACCGCAGGGAAAGGCAGCAGUUUGCAGCCGUGACAAAUGACAGAAUAAAAAUAUCUAGUAGCCAAUGGUCUCAUUUGCUUUUGUAGGUCAUAAAGAGGCAUCUACUUUAUUUUCAGUCCGUUUCAUAACCACAGAAAAACUACUGUCGUGAUAACAAACACUCGCACUGAGCUGAUCUGGACGUCUAAAUAAAAACACUCUCAUUAUUCAGAUCCACGUGUGGAAGACUCAUGACACAACAAAACAGGCUGGUUGACACUUCAAUGUUACUCUGCUGUGAUUGGGGAUGAGAUGAGGCUUCAUUUAUUUCUCUACUAAUGUUGUUUUUUUCAGUCUCAGCCUCUCUCCUCUUCUCUCUCGUCUCUGUUGUUUUUCCUCCUCAGCAGCAGCAGCAGCAGGUCGGCCGUGUGAUGGACGCUGACGAGCUGCAGUCAGACAUCCGUCUGAGAGGAAACAUCCCGGCAUCUUCUGCAGGGCCUCUAUCUCCCACCCACUGACCGAUCGAUACUGAAGGCAGCUAAAGUUAGCAGGCCUCAGAGCGCUGAGUGUGUACAGUGUGUGUGUGUGUGUGUGUGUGCCGCACUUUUCCUGCUUACUCAGACCUUUAUCACAGCAGACAUCUUGAGCUGUCUCUGCAGAAACACACAGCUGUUAAUAAUCAAAUUACAGAACCAAAGCAGCAUUAACUGUACCACUGACAGCUGUGUUUCUCUGACUCUAAUUAUAGAAAAGUCUUCUGCAGCAGAGAG
rnacentral:lncRNA from 1 species